CAGUAGCCGCGGUAAUACGUAGGGGGCAAGCGUUGUCCGGAAUCAUUGGGCGUAAAGCGCGUGUAGGCGGCUCGAUAAGUCUGCUGUGAAAGUUCAGGGCUCAACCCUGAAAUGCCGGUGGAAACUGUCGAGCUUGAGUCCGGGAGAGGCAAGUGGAAUUCCUGGUGUAGCGGUGAAAUGCGCAGAUAUCAGGAGGAACACCAGUGGCAAAGGCGGCUCACUGGACGACUGUUGACGCUGAAGCACGAAAGCUAGGGGAGCAAACAGGAUUAGAUACCCCUGUAGUCCCUGUCUCUUAUAC
rnacentral:rRNA from 1 species